GCGCGCUCGGCCGGACGGGCCGCGGGCGUGUCGGGGGCGCCGGACGUCUCCGGCGUCCGGUCCUCGGGGUGUUCGGGUGUGCCCGCCGCGCCC
rnacentral:tRNA from 2 species